rnacentral:rRNA from 1 species
CACGAACUGCGCAAACGUUAUUCGGAAUCACUGGGCUUAAAGGGUGCGUAGGCGGACUGUUAAGUAGGGCGUGAAAUUUGUCGGCUCAACCGGCAAACUGCGUUCUAAACUGGCAGUCUUGAGCGAGUCAGGGGUGUGCGGAACUUCCGGUGGAGCGGUGAAAUGUGUUGAUAUCGGAAGGAACGCCGGUGGCGAAAGCGGCACACUGGGGCUUGUCUGACGCUGAGGCACGAAAGCCAGGGGAGCGAAC